UACAGAGGUCUCAAGCGUUGUUCGGAUUCAUUGGGCGUAAAGGGUGCGUAGGCGGCGCGGUAAGUCGGGUGUGAAAUCUCGGAGCUUAACUCCGAAACUGCAUUCGAUACUGCCGUGCUUGAGGACUGGAGAGGAGACUGGAAUUUACGGUGUAGCGGUGAAAUGCGUAGAUAUCGGAAGGAACAUCAGUGGCGAAAGCGGCUUCCUGGACCAGCACCGACGUUCAGGCACGAAAGCGUGGGGAGCAAACAGG
rnacentral:rRNA from 1 species